AUGGCGGCUCACCAUGUCGCCUUGUCUGUUCUCAUCCUUGCCGUCCCACUGCUCGCGCCCAGCGGCCUCGUCGCAGGAGAGCCGUGGUCAGUGUGCGGCGACAGCGGCGAAUACGACGACAAGAGCCAGUACCUGGCCAAGCUCAACCUCGUCGCCGCCGCGCUCCCCAAGAACGCCUCGGCGUCGCCCAACCUCUUCGCCACCGGCGAGGCCGGCGCCGUCCCGGAGAAGGUCACGGCCCUCGCGCUCUGCCGCGGCGACGCCAACUCCAGGGCCUGCUCCAGCUGCCUCGCCAACGCCUUCGCCAACCUCCCCAACGUCUGCCCCGGCUCCAAGGAAGCCGUCAUCUACUACGACGCCUGCAUGCUCCGCUACUCCGACAUCCAGUUCCUCUCCGCCGACGACUCCGGACCCCUGGGCGUGGAGCUCACCUACACGGUCCGCAACGACGCCAAUGCCACGUCGGAGCCGGCCCGGUACCAGCGCGCCGUGGCCACGCUCAUGAACGCCACCGCCGACUACGCCGCGUACAACUCCACGCGCCGGUACGCCACCGGCCAAGCCGACCUCGACCGGGAGUUCCCCAAGGUGUACAGCUGGGCGCAGUGCACCCCCGACCUCACGCCGGGACUGCCUCGCUCAGUUGAUCGCGCAGUUGCCGGUGCAGUUCACCGACAGUAUCGGGGGCAGGCUUCUUGGUCCCCGAUGCAGCUUCGAGUACGAGACCAAGCCCUUCAUCAAUGGCCCCGUGAUGGUGCAGCUGCCAGCAACGUCGCCGAGCUCUGGAGCGCCCAUGCCUCCUGCAUCGGCGACAGCAGAGGGGAGAAAGUACAGUGCUCCAGGCAUGGUUCUCAUAAUACUCUUGCCUACAAUAGCAGGCAUAAACCUCAUUGUUUGGCUCUUUUCAUGGAGGAAAGAAUCCUAGUCCGCAUGUAA
rnacentral:rRNA from 1 species